CACUACUCCCGAUCGGUCUCACGGAUUUACCCGGCAAAAAAAAAAAAAAAACACAGCCCACACUCCCAAUCGCGUGUGCACCACUGCCUCUCUCGUCUUCGCGCUCCGCCCGUAUUGCCGUCGCCUCCACUGGCCACCGCCGCCUCCUCGUUUGCACUGCCACCCUCCCACCGCACCUCCCCAUCCGCACCACUGCUUCAAAUCGUUUCCACCGCAGCGUUUUCCGCCGCCGCCGCUGCCGUGUUUCCCCAUUGAUCCGAAUCACAGCUGCAAAGAACAGAACAAGAUCGAGAUCGACGAUGGUGGAUCGAGGUCAAAAAUCAGAUCGCAAAUUCAAGCAGAAGUACUGCAACAAGACUGUCGCCAUCUCUUCCUCCCUUGCCCACUGAAUCCCAUGAUCCCAUCCCAGAUCGGCUCAAAUAAAAGAGACGAUGCCAAAGAUGGAGUGAUGAAGAGCGAGGCACAAAUUUCUGUAUGGCUACAAUCAUGGGGGAAGAAUCAUGUUCUUUGAAUUGCAUCUGCUAUCAAUCAACAAGCUAGGGAGCUCAUAAUGUUCUGAUGAAGUUACUCGCAGAGGUGGAGCUUACCAACUUCAAAGAAAAGAAACAUGAACUAGAUUUUCUGAAACUAUUAUUCAGGGCAGAACCAUCACUUACAAGGAUGAGAAUAACCUGUCAUCAUUCGUUUGCUGUCUAGGAGAAACUACCUGAAGAUUUACAAAGUUUUGCUUUGCUUUUGCAAGCCAAGAAUAUUUUUGUUGAUGCGAAUUUCCUGAAAUGAAUGAGUUGUGGUUGAUGGCAGGCCUACAGAGAAGAGAAAACCUCCUUGGCUUGGGCUGAAGGAUUUUUGGUUGGCAAUAAUGCAUAAAUAGACAAACUACUGUAAUUGUGAUCACUCUAGAUUUUUUACUAUACUUCAUAACCAAAUUGUACAUUUUCAUUUUGGAAUGUUUAUUAUGUUAUCUUCUUGAGAUACUCGGAGGCCAAAUGAUCUUUG